rnacentral:lncRNA from 1 species
CCGGGGUCGGCCCGGUGGUGCACACGUUCGGCUUCAGCGGCCCGGGGUUCGCCGGUUUGGAUCCCAGGUGCAGACAUGGCACCGCUUGGCAAGCCAUGCUGUGGUGGCCCACAUUUCCUCCCCAUCUAAAUAAAGGGAUUUACAAGGACUUCCUCGGGGAGGCUGUCAGCAUCCAGAAAAGCUGAGCUGAGGGCUUGUGACAACUGCCCCAACAUGCUGUUAUACAGGCUGUGGACAGUACACCAUGUCUCCCCGGUAACAUUCAGAGGAUGGAACGAUGGCUCUAGAACUGGAUUCUGAUCUUGGACAAAGUAUACUGCUCUGGACCUCAGAAGUCAUUCUGCUUCUACAAGUCCAACUUGUCAAAGUCCUUCUCUGAGAAACCGUCCAGACUUCCCCGGUCAGAAUCAACGUCUCCUUCCUCUUGUGGACACCCCUAACACUUUGUUUCUUCCUCCCGUGCAGCAAUUACACAGUGUGCCUUGUGGUCUAGAUGGUUCCACAGGCUUUGAAAUCAACGAACCAAGUUCAAAUACAAUAUUGACCUUUGGCAAACGAGUCAGCAUCUCGAAGCCUCAGUUUCCUUCCUUGUGGGAUAGAGCGCCCAUUUUACAGCUGGGAGAAUUCAGCGAGAUCAUGUGUAACUAGCACCUCACACAGCUCCUGUUGGAUGGCACGUGUCACCAGGUCCCUCAGAAGGCCAGCUGAAAGAACUGAGAGCAAAUACUCUGCAGGGUGCUGAUGGACCACCCCAAAAAGCAGCCUCCUUCUCCUGACUCCUGCCAGCAUGGGGGUGUUACUACUGUAUUAAGGAUCUUGUAGGGCAUGGAAAUCAAGAUUCCGCACACGUUUGCACGUGGUACAGCUGAGGAUUGAAGCCUGGGAUGGAUAUGUACCAACCGUAGAACCUGCCAUGAGCAUAGCUUCAAGAAGGCAGGGACAGUGUCUGCCUUGUUCACAGCUGCAGCUCCGGUAACUAGUUCAGAGCCUGUACAUCCUGGGAAUCAAGAAACAUGUCUGAGGAAAGGAAGGAGGAAAAGAAGGAAGAAUGGAAGGAAAGCUGAAUGGUAAUAAAGAAAAUUUAGACAAUGAACUUCUCUCAAAUGAGAGAGAAGAGUCUGAAUCUGCUCUCAGUGGAACCUAUCAUUUCUGACCUCGGAGAGGUAAUAAGAGGCUUCAAGUGCUUUGUUCUUUAAGUAACUGGCCACUGUGUACAUUGUUUGGUCAUGGGUUGUGGAAAAAUCCCCCCGAGUCAGCUCCAAGGAACAAAACGUGGUUGCUUAGACUGUUCAAACCUUCAAAACUAGUCUUCUCAAAAGGCUUGGGCCUAAAGAACACUUGUGUGACCUACAUGUUGUUUGCCAUUGUCACUGACAGAGAACAAAGGAAAGGGAAGAACCCUUUGAUUGGUCUGCAUCUCAAUAACCUGAAAUGUCUGCCCCACUGCUCAUUUUAAAAGGAGCAAGAGUAGAUCUACGUGGUGUUCCAGGUUAGGAUGGUGGAGCGAGCCGCACAGCUAAUGCUGCUCCUCCGCAACGUUCCACUAAGACCAGAGGAAAGGGAUGUUCUUUAAAGAGCAAAACCCACAGGAAAGACAAUACAAGGGCAGUGAAACUUCGGAAUCUGGAAAGCAGAUUGACAACUGGCAACACCAUAUACUUCUGUUCUGUACAGAGGGUGUGGAGAGGAGGCUAGAACAGCAAGGUGUCUAAAACAGGAAAGACUGGGUGAAAGCUGUCCCACUGGGUUAGAUCUCUACGUCUCCACUCCAUUGCACAUUGCUAUGGUUGAAUAGAUAGAGUAUUUACGUUCAAUAUGUGCAUAUCUCAACUACAUAGUAUAGUAGUUUAUUCUCAGGAGUAGAUAGAGCAGGCCUCCGGACUGUGGGACAUCAGGCACACGUGAGAGCAGAUGUAUUAUUCUCACACCAAACACAGACAGACUGCAUGACCGAAUGCUAGAUGCUGAGGACUUCUCUCUCUUCCUCGGCUUGGCUCCCAGAAUGCCAGAAGCCCUACUACUUCCCUCUAGGCAGGAGAUUAGAAGGUUAUUUUCUGCUAAACAUAACCAACCUAGGAGGAAAGAUUUUAAAAUAUUGACAUCAGGAGUUCACCAACAAACAGCCCAUCCAGAACACCUGAGAGUGUCACUCACAGUAAACAAGCCUCACAUAUAAGAAAGGAUGACCAGAUACUUGAGGGAGACCUCUAACAUGGAAGACAGAGGCCAAAACCAACAAACGGAAGAAAGGAACUUGGAGAAAAUAGAGACUAUAGAAAGAGAAGAAACCUUCAACAAAACUAUUAGUAUCCUCAGAGAAAUCAGAAGAAAUGAUUACCCUUGUGAAACUAGAAAAUGGUACUACACAAAACGGAAAUUCAAAGUAAAAAGAGAUCUUGAAAGUUAAAAAAUAGCUGAAAUGAAAAAAUUCGAUAGAAGAAUUGGAAGAUAAAGUUGAAGAAAGUUCUGAGGAAGUAGAGCAAAAAGACAAAAGAGAAGGAAGACAUAAGGAAAAUCAAAGGAGCAGAACUGAAGGGCCAACACCUGAGUAAUGGAUGUUUUUUCCAGGAAAAGAGCACAGAGGCAACAAAGUGAAAAAUCAUUAACAAAAUAAGUUAACAAAAAUUCUCAUAACUGAAGACAGGAGUUGCCAGGUAGAAGGGGCCCCCUAAGUGCCUCCCCAAGAAAAUUUGAGUAGAUCUAUGUCAAGGAACAUCAUCGUGAAAUUUCAGAACACUGGGGACCAAGAGAAGGGUCUAUCAGCUUCCAGAGGGAAAAAAAGGUUACAUACAAAGGAUCAGGAAUCAGAAUGACUUCAGAUUUCACAACUGCAGCAAGACAAGGGAGAAAGACCUUCAAAAUUCUCCAGGAAAAGUCUUCCUACUGCAAUUCUAGAUUCAGCCAAACUGUCAAACACAUAUGAGGGAAGAAUAAAGACACUUUCAGAUAUGCAAAGUCUCAAAAACUUAAUUCCCAUGUACUCUUUCUCAAGAGCGUAGUGAGGAUAUACUCCUACCAAAAUCUAAGAAAAAAAAUCAAGAAAGGGGAAGAGUGCUGAAGAGUUUGUUUCUGCACCCUAACCAGUGUUAUCAGAGGCUCACUUGUAUGGACUGUUCAACCAACAGAGUCGCCAGCAGGAGAUGUGGAGGAGAGGAGGCCGAAGGCAGCUCGGGGCCCUGUCAGGAUAAAGAGGCCUCUGAGGUACCAUAGCAUGCAUUCUACCACUCAUUUCUCAGGGAUUUCUCUCUCUCCCUCACUUUCUCUUCUGCCUUCUUAAUUCUCUCCUACUUUCUUACUCUUUCGCCCCCUCCUUCAAUGAGCGAUCUUUGACAUAGCCUCCAUCACCACGCUUAACCAUGAAAAGGGCAGUGAGGCCAAAAGAGGCAAGGCAGCACAACGGAUAACAGAGCAUGGAUUAUGGAGUUAGACAACACCGGGUUCAAGCUCUAGUUCUGCCAUUUAAAAGAGGGAUGACCCCAGGCAAAUUACUCACCUUUACUGUAAUACAAGAAAAAGAAAGAUCAUUGUAUCUACUUCAUGUACAGGUUGAUUAAAUGUGGUAACAAAUGUAAAAUCUUAGAAUAGUGAGUGGUAUAUUAAGCUCUCAAUAAAUGGUAGCUAUAAUUAACAUAAAUUAAAAGUGCCAUUCCCCCAGGACAGCCAGAUUGCUCCCAAUUCCCCAGUUUACAAACAUAACAAAAAACAUCUUUAUGUGGCAUUUAUGGUAGUCAAUAGUACUAUCCUCCAAAUGUUUCCAG